GCGGAUGUGGCAGAGAGGUUUAAUGCGGCAGCCUGCUAAGUUGUUGACCCUACAUUGUGGUCCGGUGGUUCGAAUCCACUCGUCCGCG
rnacentral:tRNA from 1 species